GAUGAACGCUGGCGGCGUGCCUAAUACAUGCAAGUCGAGCGAACAGACCAGGCGCUUGCUCCUCUGACGUUAGCCGCGCACGGGUGAGUAACACGUGGAACACCCACCUAUAAGACUGGGAUCAUCACGGGAAACCGGAGCUUAUACCGGAUAAUAUCUUGCUGCGCAUGGUUCAAUAGUGAAUGUCGGCUUUGCUGUCACUUCUAGCUGCAUCCCCGCGGCAUUAGCUAGUUGGUAGGGUAACGGCUUACCAAGGCAACGAUGCGUAGCCGACCUGAGAGGGUGAUCGCCGACCCGGGAACGGAAACGCGGUCCAGACGCCUACGGGAGGCAGCAGUAGGGAAUCGUCCGCAAUGGGGGAAAGCCUGACGGAGUAACGCGGCGUGAGAUAUGAAGGCCUUGGGAGCGGAAAACUCUGUUAUUAGGGGAGAACAAAUUUGUAAGGAACUGUGCACGUCUUGACGGUACCUGGUCAGAAAGCCACGGCUAACUACGUG
rnacentral:rRNA from 1 species